GCGCGAAACCUCCGCAAUGCGGGAAACCGCGACGGGGGGACCCCGAGUGCCGUGGCAACGCCACGGCUUUUCCGGAGUGUAAAAAGCUCCGGGAAUAAGGGCUGGGCAAGGCCGGUGGCAGCCGCCGCGGUAAUACCGGCGGCCCGAGUGGUGGCCGCUAUUAUUGGGCCUAAAGCGUCCGUAGCCGGGCCCGUAAGUCCCUGGCGAAAUCCCACGGCUCAACCGUGGGGCUUGCUGGGGAUACUGCGGGUCUUGGGACCGGGAGAGGCGGGGGGUACCCCUGGGGUAGGGGUGAAAUCCUAUAAUCCCAGGGGGACCGCCAGUGGCGAAGGCGCCCCGCUGGAACGGGUCCGACGGUGAGGGACGAAGGCCAGGGGAGCAAACCGGAUUAGAUACCCGGGUAGUCCUGGCUGUAAAGGAUGCGGGCUAGGUGUCGGGUGAGCCUCGAGCUCGCCCGGUGCCGUAGGGAAGCCGUUAAGCCCGCCGCCUGGGGAGUACGGCCGCAAGGCUGAAACUUAAAGGAAUUGGCGGGGGAGCACUACAAGGGGUGGAGCGUGCGGUUUAAUUGGAUUCAACGCCGGGAACCUCACCGGGGGCGACGGCAGGAUGAAGGCCAGGCUGAAGGUCUUGCCGGACACGCC
rnacentral:rRNA from 1 species